UACGAAGGGGGCUAGCGUUGCUCGGAAUCACUGGGCGUAAAGCGCACGUAGGCGGAUCUUUAAGUCAGGGGUGAAAUCCCGGAGCUCAACUCCAGAACUGCCUUUGAUACUGAGAAUCUUGAGUAUGGGAGAGGUGAGUGGAACUGCGAGUGUAGAGGUGAAAUUCGUAGAUAUUCGCAAGAACACCAGUGGCGAAGGCGGCUCACUGGCCCAUAACUGACGCUGAGGCACGAAAGCGUGGGGAGCGAACAGG
rnacentral:rRNA from 1 species